AGUGAACGCUGGCGGUAGGCCUAACACAUGCAAGUCGAACGGCAGCACAGUAAGAGCUUGCUCUUACGGGUGGCGAGUGGCGGACGUGAGAGGAAUACAUCGGAAUCUACUCUUUCGUGGGGGAUAACGUAGCGAAACUUACUCUAAUACCGCAUAUGACCUACGGGUGAAAGCAGGGGAUCUUCGGACCUUGCGCGAUUGAAUGAGCCGAUGUCGGAUUAGCUAGUCGGCGGGGUAAAGGCCCACCAAGGCGGCGAUCCGUAGCUGGUGUGAGAGAAUGGUAGGCGGCACUGGAAGUGAGACAGGGUCAAGGGUCCUACGGGAGGCAGCAGUGGGGAAUAGUGGGCAGUGGGGGCAAGCCUGAUCCAGCGAUACGGCAUGGGUGAAGAAGGCCUUCGGGUCGUGAAGCCCUUUUGUUGGGAAAGAAAAGCAGCAGGUUAAGACGCCGCGGUUCUGACGGUACCCAAUGAAUAAGCACCGGCUAACUACGUG
rnacentral:rRNA from 1 species